UCGGGCUUCUGAACGUGAGCUCCAACCCCUGUGAACAUAACCUCUGUCGUUGCUUCGGCGGGCACGCCCGCCGGAGGUUCAAAACUCUUAUUUUUUCCAGUAUCUCUGAGCCUGAAAGACAAAUAAUCAAAACUUUCAACAACGGAUCUCUUGGUUCUGGCAUCGAUGAAGAACGCAGCGAAAUGCGAUAAGUAAUGUGAAUUGCAGAAUUCAGUGAAUCAUCGAAUCUUUGAACGCACAUUGCGCCCGCCGGUAUUCCGGCGGGCAUGCCUGUUCGAGCGUCAUUUCAACCCUCAAGCCUCGGCUUGGUGUUGGGGCGCCCGGGCCCUCCGCGGCCCGGGGCCCCUAUUCCAUCGUGGGGUUCUUCGGUACUCUGAUGCAAGAUACAGCGUUAAAAAAACAAACUUUAAUCUCAUCGUGGUGCGCCGUCCAACCCCUAAUCAUUAAAGGUAGUCCUCGGAUCAGGAAUGAAUACCCCCUGAACUUACUCAUCUCCUCACCCUACGGAGAAUGUUAUG
rnacentral:rRNA from 1 species